CAGAAGGGGUUGGAUCGAGUGGGACAUGACCUUCAUACACACUUCGAAGAAGCAGAGGCCAGGCUAGAGCUAUUGAAAUGAAAUCCUACAGCGUUGAUCGAUCAGCCAGCAGCAGGUGGGCUGACUGUGGAACAUUGCCUUGCACUCCUGAACCUGAACUGACUGCCAAACAUUUCUCAUAUUUUCCAAGCCAGGCUUGCUGACCUUUGAACUGCUUUCCUAUUGUGAUGGUGCUCCAGGGAGGACAGCAGUCGUCACUCACUGUGCUGACUACAGAAACGAGAACUUGCCUUGUGGCCUAAGGGGAGUAGGUCCAGGAGCCUAACGAACUGUAUCGUCAUGCACAGAGAGAAGGCCUGCUGCAUAAGGGGAAAUAGCAGGAAGCAGAGCUGUGUGGCUGGAGCUCCUGCAGUCAGGACUACUGGGGGUAGUCCUACUACUUACUACUUCUUCUCCUCAGGGGUCCAUGGGUAAGAGGCUCAGUCAGCAAAGGUUCUUAGAGACAGGUGGAGUUUUUUUAGAGAUAUCCACAAGUAGACUUUAGCCAAGCUUUUUAUUUCUUAAGAAGAAGGUGAUGCUGCAUCAGCAGACCAAAAUGUCAGUCUCUGUUUUUCACACAAUCACAGGCAGAAAGUGUUGAGACAAAUAAACUGAAUUGGCAAGGGUAUCUGAAGAGUACUGUAUUCUGUUUACUCUUUAUUAAUUUUAAAUUCAAUAUAACAAGUGAUUAAACUGUUGUAUUUUGUUACUCAUCUCCAUUCACUAUACCCAAAAUGUUGCAGUACAAAUAGUUAAUAAUUUCUUGUUAUGUAUCAGUUACUUAAUACCAAUAUUCCUUGUAACUGGCAUAGAGAGAAAAUUUUAUGCUAUUAUUCUAUGACUCCUAUUCUCCAGGCUCCAGCCUAAAAUAAAGAAAAGUGUACAUGGACACAAUAAUUGGGCAUAUUUUCUUAUUUUUUUUCUUGCCUAGCAUCUGUUAGUGACUUAUGCAACCAUGUGUAGUAUAGAACUUACUGCAUAAUGAUUUGUCAUGAAAAAGACUUGGGAUAACAUACAGUAAUAUGAAGUCAUCUUAUACAUACAGUGUUUUCCAGUUAAUUUUUUUUCAACUUUUAAUUUCCAAUUAUUUUUAAAUUUAAC